rnacentral:rRNA from 1 species
AGUGAACGCUGGCGGUAGGCCUAACACAUGCAAGCCGAACGGCAGCACAGUAAGAGCUUGCUCUUACGGGUGGCGAGUGGCGGGCGGGUGAGGAAUACAUCGGAAUCUACUUUUUCGUGGGGGAUAACGUAGGGAAACUUACGCUAAUACCGCAUACGACCUACGGGUGAAAGCAGGGGAUCUUCGGACCUUGCGCGAUUGAAUGAGCCGAUGUCGGAUUAGCUAGUUGGCGGGGUAAAGGCCCACCAAGGCGACGAUCCGUAGCUGGUCUGAGAGGAUGAUCAGCCACACUGGAACUGAGACACGGUCCAGACUCCUACGGGAGGCAGCAGUGGGGAAUAUUGGACAAUGGGCGCAAGCCUGAUCCAGCCAUACCGCGUGGGUGAAGAAGGCCUUCGGGUUGUAAAGCCCUUUUGUUGGGAAGGAAAAGCAGCAGGUUAACACCCCGCUGUUCUGACGGUACCCAAAGAAUAAGCACCGGCUAACUUCGUG